rnacentral:lncRNA from 1 species
AUCGUUCGGAUUCCGCAAGCAAUUGAAGAAAACUUUGCUUCAAUUUAUUUGGGCUUAAACUCAAGACAUAUUUUAACAGCGGUGGUGUUGGUUCAGGCAGGAGAGUUGCAGGUGAGUGUUCGGUGAGGAGAGGGGAGUUGUCGAGGAAGAAGGAAGAAGACAGGCGUAGAGAAGAAAAAAAGAAGAAGAUAGGCGUAGAGAAGAAAAAAAAUAAUGCAGAAAAAGUGAAAAAAUGAAGAAAUAGCAAACAAAAAUGGCUUCGGGCAUGUGGAGAAUGCGCGAGGAAGAAGAAUUCCAAGAGAGAAGAGAAAGUAAAAGCAAAAUAAAAAAUAAAAAUAAAAAAGAGGUGAUAAAAGGAUUUGAAAAGACAGAAGAAGGAAAGAAAG